rnacentral:rRNA from 1 species
GACGAACGCUGGCGGCGUGCUUAACACAUGCAAGUCGAGCGGUAAGGCCCUCGGGUACGACGAGCGGCGAACGGGUGAGUAACACGUGGGUGACCUGCCUCUAGCUCUGGGAUAAGCCUGGGAAACUGGGUCUAAUACCGGAUAUGACUCCACGGCGCAUGUUGUGGGGUGGAAAGCCUUGUGUGGCUAGAGAUGGGCCCGCGGCCUAUCAGCUUGUUGGUGGGGUGAGGCCUACCAAGGCGACGACGGGUAGCCGGCCUGAGAGGGCGACCGGCCACACUGGGACUGAGACACGGCCCAGACUCCUACGGGAGGCAGCAGUGGGGAAUCUUGCGCAAUGGGCGAAAGCCUGACGCAGCGACGCCGCGUGAGGGAUGAC